AACACAUGCAAGUCGAACGCGAAAGGGGACUUCGGUUCCCGAGUAGAGUGGCGCACGGGUGAGUAACACGUGGGUAAUCUGCCUUUGGGUGGGGAAUAACGGCCCGAAAGGGUCGCUAAUACCGCAUAACUGCAGCUGGCACCGCAUGGUGACAGUUGUUAAAGGGGGGGAUCUUCGGACCUCCUGCCUGAAGAGGAGCCCGCGCCCGAUUAGCUAGUUGGUGAGGUAACGGCUCACCAAGGCUGCGAUCGGUAGCCGGCCUGAGAGGGCGGUCGGCCACACUGGCACUGAGACACGGGCCAGACUCCUACGGGAGGCAGCAGUGGGGAAUUUGGGCAAUGGGCGCAAGCCUGACCCAGCAACGCCGCGUGAAGGACGAAAUCCCUCUGGGAUGUAAACUUCGAAAGUUAGGGAAGAAAUACCGGAGGCGAAUACCCUCCGGGGAUGACGGUACCUAACGUAAGCCCCGGCUAACUACGUGCCAGCAGCCGCGGUAUACGUAGGGGGCAAGCGUUGUACGGAAUUACUGGGCGUAAAGGGCG
rnacentral:rRNA from 1 species